rnacentral:lncRNA from 1 species
CCCGGGUUUGCAGGAGAGAUUGGCUCAGGACAUGAACCUGCAGCCAGCUCAGGUCUAUAACUGGUUUGCAAAUUAUCGACGACGUCAAAAAUCCCGUAUCCAUUGUGAGGAAAAGCUUAACUACUUGUGCCCUGAGGGGACCUUGACACACCAUGCAAAGGAGCAGCAGGAUAGAGGAUCCUACACUCCACAAACUGCAGGUGGAUCUUAUGUAGGCAUCAGCUCUGAGCAGACAGGGAUAAACCUCAUGCCCUGUGACCCAGGGUGGGAGCAGUCAGCUACAGACUUGGAUAAGUCUCCAGAAGGAAUGUAUUUAAAGAUGCUGGAAUCCAGCUUUAUUCAGAGCAGCGCACUGUGUGAAGCAAGGACAAGCAAGGCGUUGAUGGCUCACGUCACUGAACAACCCGUAGCUUUUUUCAGUGAGGCUGUGCUGGAACCAGGAACCUGCUUUAACUCUGCCGUCCUGCAGCCCAGAGAAGCAGCAAGCAGUACUGAUGCUGGCCCCCAGCUGGAUAACUUUGUUGUGUGCUCUUGUGGGUCCCUUAUCUUCCCAGGUGAACGUCUGGCCACGUGGCAGGCCCCUUCCAGCACCACAGGAGUCUCUGGCUCCAUGUGGACCCCAAAUAUAGAAGUUCCCAUCAGACUGUGGCUGGCAAGCCUCAGUGCCCACCUGUUUCUGCACCCCGCAUGGAAGAAAGCCAAGCCAUGGGACAAGGCCAGGUGCUGGAGGAUCCAGUGGAUCCAGUUGGUGACCCAUUAA